UUAGAGUUUGAUCAUGGCUCAGGAUAAACGCUGGCGGCGUGCCUAAUACAUGCAAGUCGAGCGAACGGACGAGAAGCUUGCUUCUCUGAUGUUAGCGGCGGACGGGUGAGUAACACGUGGAUAACCUACCUAUAAGACUGGGAUAACUUCGGGAAACCGGAGCUAAUACCGGAUAAUAUUUUGAACCGCAUGGUUCAAAAGUGAAAGACGGUCUUGCUGUCACUUAUAGAUGGAUCCGCGCUGCAUUAGCUAGUUGGUAAGGUAACGGCUUACCAAGGCAACGAUGCAUAGCCGACCUGAGAGGGUGAUCGGCCACACUGGAACUGAGACACGGUCCAGACUCCUACGGGAGGCAGCAGUAGGGAAUCUUCCGCAAUGGGCGAAAGCCUGACGGAGCAACGCCGCGUGAGUGAUGAAGGUCUUCGGAUCGUAAAACUCUGUUAUUAGGGAAGAACAUAUGUGUAAGUAACUGUGCACAUCUUGACGGUACCUAAUCAGAAAGCCACGGCUAACUACGUGCCAGCAGCCGCGGUAAUACGUAGGUGGCAAGCGUUAUCCGGAAUUAUUGGGCGUAAAGCGCGCGUAGGCGGUUUUUUAAGUCUGAUGUGAAAGCCCACGGCUCAACCGUGGAGGGUCAUUGGAAACUGGAAAACUUGAGUGCAGAAGAGGAAAGUGGAAUUCCAUGUGUAGCGGUGAAAUGCGCAGAGAUAUGGAGGAACACCAGUGGCGAAGGCGACUUUCUGGUCUGUAACUGACGCUGAUGUGCGAAAGCGUGGGGAUCAAACAGGAUUAGAUACCCUGGUAGUCCACGCCGUAAACGAUGAGUGCUAAGUGUUAGGGGGUUUCCGCCCCUUAGUGCUGCAGCUAACGCAUUAAGCACUCCGCCUGGGGAGUACGACCGCAAGGUUGAAACUCAAAGGAAUUGACGGGGACCCGCACAAGCGGUGGAGCAUGUGGUUUAAUUCGAAGCAACGCGAAGAACCUUACCAAAUCUUGACAUCCUUUGACAACUCUAGAGAUAGAGCCUUCCCCUUCGGGGGACAAAGUGACAGGUGGUGCAUGGUUGUCGUCAGCUCGUGUCGUGAGAUGUUGGGUUAAGUCCCGCAACGAGCGCAACCCUUAAGCUUAGUUGCCAUCAUUAAGUUGGGCACUCUAAGUUGACUGCCGGUGACAAACCGGAGGAAGGUGGGGAUGACGUCAAAUCAUCAUGCCCCUUAUGAUUUGGGCUACACACGUGCUACAAUGGACAAUACAAAGGGCAGCGAAACCGCGAGGUCAAGCAAAUCCCAUAAAGUUGUUCUCAGUUCGGAUUGUAGUCU
rnacentral:rRNA from 1 species